rnacentral:rRNA from 1 species
UACGUAGGGUGCAAGCGUUGUCCGGAAUUAUUGGGCGUAAAGAGCUUGUAGGCGGUUUGUCGCGUCUGCUGUGAAAACUCAGGGCUUAACCCUGAGCCUGCAGUGGGUACGGGCAGACUAGAGUGUGGUAGGGGAGAUCGGAAUUCCUGGUGUAGCGGUGGAAUGCGCAGAUAUCAGGAGGAACACCGGUGGCGAAGGCGGAUCUCUGGGCCAUAACUGACGCUGAGGAGCGAAAGCAUGGGGAGCGAACAGG